rnacentral:rRNA from 1 species
AUACGGAGGGUGCAAGCGUUAAUCGGAAUUACUGGGCGUAAAGCGCACGCAGGCGGUUUGUUAAGUCAGAUGUGAAAUCCCCGGGCUCAACCUGGGAACUGCAUCUGAUACUGGCAAGCUUGAGUCUCGUAGAGGGGGGUAGAAUUCCAGGUGUAGCGGUGAAAUGCGUAGAGAUCUGGAGGAAUACCGGUGGCGAAGGCGGCCCCCUGGACGAAGACUGACGCUCAGGUGCGAAAGCGUGGGGAGCAAACAGGAUUAGAUACCCUGGUAGUCCACGCCGUAAACGAUGUCGACUUGGAGGUUGUGCCCUUGAGGCGUGGCUUCCGGAGCUAACGCGUUAAGUCGACCGCCUGGGGAGUACGGCCGCAAGGUUAAAACUCAAAUGAAUUGACGGGGGCCCGCACAAGCGGUGGAGCAUGUGGUUUAAUUCGAUGCAACGCGAAGAACC